rnacentral:lncRNA from 1 species
AUUCCCACUGUACUACCGUGGAGCCUUUAAGGUUGACUGUCCCAGGGCUUGUGGAUUUGCUGCUUACUUUCAAACCGCAGUGGCAAGUAUCAUCUCACACCCUUAAAACAGGAUCUCCAGCUUCACUGGUAGGCAAAUCCGGCCCCCUCCCCACCACCACACCAUGAAGCCGGUGGGAUGCUGGGAACACGCUGUCAACCUGUGGAGGCCAAGUGUCUGUGGCUCUCAGAAUGGAUGCCUUGGCUUUGUAGCAGGCUCCUGGCUCCACCCCUCUGUGUCCCUCGCCUUGUCAGAGAAGUUUCCAGGAAGGUGGACAGUGUCAUCACAUGCUCCAACGGCUGAGCUCCUCUCUGAGCCCUGUGUGACCUGACUCUAGGAAGAACCGAAAUGAAGAUACUAAGCAGAGAGGUGCCGAUCUGCCACCACCAUCCACUUUUGUGGAAGAUAAGAACAUGCCCUUCCUACCCCACCCUCAUCUACUUCCAGACUGGAGUCUGGGCCCUUCUUGUUCCCCUCCUGGGAAAAAGUCAAAACAAAAAGCUCUCCGGUGUCACUUCAAGUUCUAGGGCUUUCUAAGCUGCCCCUCUCCUUGUUGCUGUCUUUUUUUCCUCCUGUUUCCUGGCGGCGGCCUGCUUUCUGUCUUUGUUGCCAAGCUCAGACGCUCCUGAAACCCAGCCCAACCUCCGUGAAGCCCGGAAACUUCGAGUUCAGCGGCUGUGCACGAAGUUGGGGUGGCGAAGCCAGAGAGAUGGGCGUUAGCACCCGGAGCUGCUGGAGGUCGUGACUCGGGCUACUACUGCAGAACUUGCUCCUUGGGACCUCGGACAGUCCAGGCGGUGGCCAUGAACUUGACUCCGUGUUUCUCCCGCCUGCGCCGCCCAGAGCUCAGUUUGACCUGUAAAGAUUCCAGAUUUGUCUUGGUCCCAGAGCUCUGCUCAGUCAGUAGCCAUGAUGGUCAGAUGCUCAAGAGUGACAGGAUGCAAGAAGCAGGUCUGAACUUGUACUCGGGCUAUGUCAGGU